AGCUUAUUUCUUUCACAAAACAUGAAGUGUGACAGAAAAAUGAAUAUUAUACAGCUCUAGAUCAGUCAGUUAUCAGCCAUCUGAAAGAUGUCUCAGUUCUUAUGUAUCCUUAUUAACACAAAAUACAAAAUUUGAUGGAAAUUUUAAUCAACUUUUAUUUUGAAUACUAAUCCUUCUGGUCAUUUACCUGUUUAACAUACAGUUUAAACAGAAUACAUAAUCAUCAUCACAUACAAAUCGAUCUAGUCAAUCGUAUAAAAAAUAUGGGUGAUUGUUAUUAUACUUCAUGGCUACACUUUACGUAUAAUACUGAUGAAUAUUUUCUUGUAAGAAAUGUUGUCUUCAAAAACCGAAUUUUGAUUUUGUUGUAUAAAGGAAGAGUCUCGAGACUGCCACUCUCUAUAGUUAUAUUGUUACACAUACACAAACAUGUAAAUAAUCCGUAAAAGCACUAGAUAUUUUUAUGGGAUAAUAGCUUGAUUUUUUUUAUCCAAACAACAGUUCUUGUCAAUAUAAAUAACAUUUAUCAUUUACACAUGUAAACUGUAUGCAUGUUUAAGUACUUAUUAGAAGUUUAUUUACAAGUUCUUGGCCAUAAAUGACUCCAAAUGGUGAUUGGCCAUAAAUCAAUACUAUUUACGAAUUCAUAUUAUUUGAUGACAAAUAGUUUAUGUCUAUAUUAUACAUAUCAAUCUAACAUGUUAAGUUAUAAUAAAUUCUUGAAACAUAACUUAAAUGGUUUUUGAGUUCUCUGUGAGAAGAAUAACACUGGACAACUUAUAUCAUUCCAUUGAUGUAUAUCCAGCCCACAUGACAGGACUUGAAUAGGUCUGACAGUGUUCUAGAAGAAAACUAUCAACAGGAAAUGUUGAAGGGUAGAUGGAAAGGAGAUGUAGAAUCCAUAAUCUACCACACUAUCAGACACAACACCACCAACAUAUUCCAUUUAUAGUUAUACAUUUACAUUAAUAUGGAUCCAGUAAGAAUAAAUUCAUGUAAUGAACCAGUGUCAAAACCAAUACCAAAUGUACUUUAUCUACAGUGGGUUUUAAUUUAUUUCUUUGCUAGUUGAGCCUAGCUAACUAAAUAGAUUUCCUCUCCCUCUCCACUAAUCAGAACUAAUUGUAUAAUAAAUCAUAAUUGACAAACACUAGGACCCAGUCCAGUUCAAAAUGAAAAACUGAUUCUUAUUAACAAAGCAGGGGCAAUAAUCAGGUGUAUUGCCCCCCCCCC